rnacentral:lncRNA from 1 species
AGCUUAGUGUUAAAGUAUACCUAGGUUCCAUCCCCAGUACUGCAAAAAAAAAAAAAUUAAAGAAAAUCCUUUUUUGUUUUGUUUUGUUUUUGUGGUGCUGGGAUGGAACUCCGUGUCUCUAAUAUGCUAGGCAAGCAAUAUACUACUAAGCUACAUCCCCAACCCUGCCACUUAUCAUCUGAUGCCUAAGUUUACAUUUUGUUUUAUAGUCAAAUUAGCAAAGAAUGAUCACCCAAAGCCAGAGUUUCUAAAUUGGGUUUAAGGAUGAUUUCCAUGGGAUUCCAAGAGUUUUUGUAUGUGUUCUUUCUCACUUGCCUAUAAAAGAGCUUUCCACUUUCAGAUAGCUGUAAUUGCUGAAAAGUUGGCCAUUUCUGCCUUAUGCAGUUAUGCAGAAAUAUGUAAUCUUGUGUCCUUGUAGAUAGUUGCUACACUUUCUGCAAAUAUUAUCUAGCUCUCUAAAAUUCUUUCUAUUUUUCAAGGUAAAACAAUCCCAACUCUCUGAGCUUAUCACAUGAGAAUGGUGGAACUCUUCCUUCUGGUUCUGCUGGUUCGUUCUCCCACCCAUUCUGGCAGGAACAUCAUAAGAAGAUAGUAGGUAGUGAGGUACAGCAGGGCUCAGAGGCAUGGCUGGGGAACAUGCCCAUGAAACUUGAGCUUACAGAUUCUGAAAUUUUCUCCUAGUUGUAAAUACCUCCAUUAUCUCUUCAUGAUUGUUUUUGGAGGCAGCAGAGUAUAGUGGUUAGGAGUAUAGGCUCCAGAAAGUGACUCCCUG